rnacentral:rRNA from 1 species
ACUGCUCAGUAACACGUGGACAACCUGCCCUUAGGUUGGGUAUAAACCCGGGAAACUGGGUAUAAUACCCGAUAGGUCUCGAUUGCUGGAAUGCAUCGAGAUUUAAAGCUCCGGCGCCUAAGGAUGGGUCUGCGGCCUAUCAGGUAGUAGUGGGUGUAGCGUACCUACUAGCCUACGACGGGUACGGGUUGUGAGAGCAAGAGCCCGGAGAUGGAUUCCGAGACACGAAUCCAGGCCCUACGGGGUGCAGCAGGCGCGAAAACUUUACAAUGCUGGCAACAGCGAUAAGGGAACCUCGAGUGCCAGGUUACAAAUCUGGCUGUCGAGAUGCCUAAAAAGCAUUUCAUAGCAAGGGCCGGGCAAGACCGGUGCCAGCCGCCGCGGUAACACCGGCGGCUCGAGUGGUAACCGUUAUUAUUGGGUCUAAAGGGUCUGUAGCCGGCCGGAUAAGUCUCUUGAGAAAUCUGGCAGCUUAACUGUCAGGCUUUCAGGAGAUACUGUCUGGCUCGAGGCCGGGAGAGGUGAGAGGUACUUCAGGGGUAGGGGUGAAAUCUUGUAAUCCUUGAAGGACCACCAGUGGCGAAGGCGUCUCACCAGAACGGACCUGACGGCAAGGGACGAAAGCUAGGGGAGCAAACCGGAUUAGAUACCCGGGUAGUCCCAGCCGUAAACGAUGCGCGUUAGGUGUAUCGAUGACCACGAGUCAUCGAGGUGCCGAAGGGAAACCGUGAAACGCGCCGCCUGGGAAGUACGGUCGCAAGGCUGAAACUUAAAGGAAUUGGCGGGGGAGCAC